rnacentral:rRNA from 1 species
AUUGAACGCUGGCGGCAGGCCUAACACAUGCAAGUCGAGCGAGCGGCGGACGGGUGAGUAAUGUAUGGGAACUGCCCGAUGGAGGGGGAUAACUACGGGAAACGGUAGCUAAUACAGCAUACUAUCGGAUAACCCAGAUGGGAUUAGAUAGAAUGUGCGGUAAGGGCUCACCUAGGCGACGAUCCCUAGCUGGUCUGAGAGGAUGAUCAGCCACACUGGGACUUGGACACGGCCCAGACUCUUACGGAGGCAGCAGUGGGGAAUAGUGCACAAUGGGCUCAAGCCUGAUGCAGCCAUGCCGCGUGUGUGAAGAAGGCCUUAGGGUUGUAAAGUACUUUCAGCCGGGAGGCGUUACCUACAGAAGAAGCACCGGCUAACUCCGUGCCAGCCGCCGCGGUAAUUC